AGGAGGCUGUAGAAAAAGUCUGGGGGGGGGGGGAGGCGCUGAAACGAGUAUAAAUAUUGAACAUUUUGAUGGAAAAUACAUAUUUUGGGCUUCAAAUUGAAUUGAUUCACUUGAUGAAAACAUAACGUCGUUUUUAUUCGUCUGCAAGGUGGUCCUUCUAUUUUACAAUAUUUACAAAAAUCACUUUAAACUUUUCAAACUGAUCAUAAAUCUCCGUGAACUGUACAUAUUCAAACUUUUAAUUUCAUCAUAAUAACACAAUCAUUUUUACUAUGUGUACAUACAUUUGGGCAUUGCACAGUCUCAUUACAGUUUUUAACAUUUCACAAUACAAAAAAAUAAGUAACUGUAGUUCCACAUAGUUUCGUAAAAGUAUCUAAGAGUUAGGAGUUUCUUUUGUGCUUAUUAAUAUCACAAACUGUAACUUAAAACAUUGUUUUUUCAUAACAUUUGUGAAAACCUAUAUAAAUAGGAAGGCAUCAAACUUUUUAAACAUCACAACAAAAUAUCAAAACAAAUAGAUUUAAAAAUCGGUAAUUCUUAACUACUACUAAAUUUCCAAAAAGAUGAAAUCUGGUGUUUUAUUUGCAACUCUUCUAGUAAUUUUUGUGUCAUGUGCCUCAAAUAUUUUUGCAAAAUCCUCUUGUGAAGAUAAAACAGAUAUUUCAAGUCAAGCACCUAGCCCUCAACUUGAUAUCCAAAUAAAAAACCAAGUGCUUCAUGAUAAAAAAAUUAAACCUCAUGCUGCCAAUAAUCCAAUUGGAUUUUGUCAAGAAUGUGCACAUCAUUGUAUUAGAAAGAAGAGGUUUAUGCUAGAAUGCCGAAACUUUGCUUGUUACUGUGAUCAUAGCAGAUAUAAUCAGAGAAUAUGUAAAGGGUGGCAAAGAUUAUGGUGCAUUAAUUACUAAGAUGUAUUUUGGAAUUCCAAUAUAAAAUAAAGAAACCAUUAUAUUA